UUUGUUCUUUUUCAGUGUUGUUGUAGUUGUUAAUUCACUGUAACUUAUACUAUUCUCUAUAGUUGGUUCUUUUUUUAAUUUCGUUCGUACACACGUUGCUUCAUAGACAGGUAGGAAAUUUCUAGCUUUUCAUGAUUUUCGUUCGCUUGCCAGGGCCUUUCCUGGAGGAAUUCAUAAGCCUGUGGGACCAAGUGCAAUCCAUUUCGCAGACGCUUCCCGAACAGGCUAAGCAUCUUAUUCAUCCUGUAGAUGACAAGGUCGCCGAAAUUAGGAGCCCAGCAAGCGAAAAGCCCAUGAGAGGAGAUGACGGUGAAGAAUCCCAAAGUACAGCAGCUGACUUGCCACAAAAAGAUCCCUUGCUUGGCCUUGCAAGAUGAAACAGCCUCCUCAAGUGUACAUGUCUCAAGAUCAAGUCAAGAGGAGCAUGAUGGUGAAAUUGAUGACCAGCCAGCAACUCCUCUGGUUAGGAAGCGCAAAAGGAGA